AUGCAGCCAUGCCGCGUGUAUGAAGAAGGCCUUCGGGUUGUAAAGUACUUUCAGCAGUGAGGAAGGUGGGUAUGUUAAUAGCAUACUCAUUUGUACGUUAGCUGCAGAAGAAGCACCGGCUAACUCCGUGCCAGCAGCCGCGGUAAUACGGAGGGUGCGAGCGUUAAUCGGAAUUACUGGGCGUAAAGCGCAUGCAGGUGGUUUGUUAAGUCAGAUGUGAAAGCCCGGGGCUCAACCCUCGGAAUUGCAUUUGAAACUGGACAAACUAGAGUACUGUAGAGGGGGUAGAAUUUCAGGUGUAGCGGUGAAAUGCGUAGAGAUCUGAAGGAAUACCGGUGGCGAAGGCGGCCCCCUGGACAGAUACUGACACUCAGAUGCGAAAGCGUCGGGGAGCAAACAGGAUUAGAUACCCUGGUAG
rnacentral:rRNA from 1 species